rnacentral:tRNA from 1 species
GCCAGUUAGCUCAGUUGGUUAGAGCCAGGUGCUAACACCAAGGUUGUGGAUUUGAUCGCCACGUGGGCA